CAGUACAUAGUUAUCUUAAAACUCAGUGUGAGUAUCCUGUUUGCAUUUCAGUGGAGGACAUUAAGAUGCUGGGUACAGGAUGAAUGAACUUCUACUCCAGUUUUAAAAAUAGAAAUGCAUAGAAGUUGAAUACUUCAGUGUUUGCCAGUUAUCUUGAAAUCACUGUAAUACAACUUCAUGUGAAGGUAUGUUGGGAUGCACUGAGAUCAGAGCGGAACUUCAAAGUGAACGCACCAAAAGCUACUUUUUAUCAGAGGCUUUCUUGAAGAAAAACCCAAACAAUAUCCUGUGGAUUUUUAAGAAAAUAUUUCCAUCAGCUCAGAGUCUUGGAUGUUGCACCCUCCUGCUGGCAGGCCCCUGCUCCUUUCAGUCAGUCUGCACAAACUUGUCAGCUUCUGCAAAAAAUAGAACAGAUAGUAAAUUCAGAAGUGACCAAGACAGUGUAAGGCAGUGCCCUGAUGUGGACCGCAUCACCUGUCUGGGGAAUAAAAUAAUUAUGUUUGUUCAGAAAAAUACAGUCUGAGCAACUGUCAGAGCUGGAGUUGGAAGGAAAUAGUCCUGCCUUUCAGAUUCACAGGGCUGCAGAGUUCCUCCUUUUUUUCUCCUUGGCAACCUGAAGUGGAGAGCACCCGAAGGAUUAUAGAGGUGUAUAUCCUCUAUUUAGUUCUCUAAUAUUCUGGAGCCCUGAAGUGCUGCUGUACCCUGAGCUUCUCUGCUUGUGCUAUGCAACAGUCCCUGUUUCUGUGCUGUGAAAUGCUUUAACAUUAGGCAGUUGGUGGGGUUUUUUGUACUAAUAAAAGGGUUGCUGGGUGAAAAUAAAUGGUCUGUGAUAUCCAGGAAGUCAGCCUAGAUGAUCUGAAGAUCCCUGAAGCCUCAAAUUCUAUGAAGUGAUGGAAGGUUAAUCAAAGUAGUAUA